CCUACGGGCGGCUGCAGUGGGGAAUAUUGGACAAUGGGGGGAACCCUGAUCCAGCCAUGCCGCGUGUGUGAAGAAGGCCCUCGGGUUGUAAAGCACUUUCAGUGAGGAAGAACGCCUGGUGGUUAAUACCCAUCAGGAAAGACAUCACUCACAGAAGAAGCACCGGCUAACUCCGUGCCAGCAGCCGCGGUAAUACGGAGGGGUGCGAGCGUUAAUCGGAAUUACUGGGCGUAAAGCGCGCGUAGGUGGCUUGAUAAGCCGGUUGUGAAAGCCCCGGGCUCAACCUGGGAACGGCAUCCGGAACUGUCAAGCUAGAGUGCAGGAGAGGAAGGUAGAAUUCCCGGUGUAGCGGUGAAAUGCGUAGAGAUCGGGAGGAAUACCAGUGGCGAAGGCGGCCUUCUGGACUGACACUGACACUGAGGUGCGAAAGCGUGGGUAGCAAACAGGAUUAGAUACCCUAGUAGUC
rnacentral:rRNA from 1 species